CCCGGGGACGUUAAUCCGGGAAUUAAUUGGGCGUAAGCGAGCGCAGGCGGUUGCUUAGGUCUGAUGUGAAAGCCUUCGGCUUAACCGAAGAAGUGCAUCGGAAACCGGGCGACUUGAGUGCAGAAGAGGACAGUGGAACUCCAUGUGUAGCGGUGGAAUGCGUAGAUAUAUGGAAGAACACCAGUGGCGAAGGCGGCUGUCUGGUCUGCAACUGACGCUGAGGCUCGAAAGCAUGGGUAGCGAACAGGAUUAGAUACCCUGGUAGUCCAUGCCGUAAACGAUGAGUGCUAGGUGUUGGAGGGUUUCCGCCCUUCAGUGCCGGAGCUAACGCAUUAAGCACUCCGCCUGGGGAGUACGACCGCAAGGUUGAAACUCAAAGGAAUUGACGGGGGCCCGCACAAGCGGUGGAGCAUGUGGUUUAAUUCGAAGCUACGCGAAGAACCUUACCAGGUCUUGACAUCUUGCGCUAACCUUAGAGAUAAGGCGUUCCCUUCGGGGACGCAAUGACAGGUGGUGCAUGGUCGUCGUCAGCUCGUGUCGUGAGAUGUUGGGUUAAGUCCCGCAACGAGCGCAACCCUUGUUACUAGUUGCCAGCAUUGAGUUGGGCACUCUAGUGAGACUGCCGGUGACAAACCGGAGGAAGGUGGGGACGACGUCAGAUCAUCAUGCCCCUUAUGACCUGGGCUACACACGUGCUACAAUGGACGGUACAACGAGUCGCAAACUCGCGAGAGUAAGCUAAUCUCUUAAAGCCGUUCUCAGUUCGGACUGUAGGCUGCAACUCGCCUACACGAAGUCGGAAUCGCUAGUAAUCGCGGAUCAGCAUGCCGCGGUGAAUACGUUCCCGGGCCUUGUACACACCGCCCGUCACACCAUGGGAGUUUGUAACGCCCAAAGUCGGUGGCCUAACCUUUAUGGAGGGAGCCGCCUAAGGCGGGACAGAUGACUGGGGUGAAGUCGUACAAGGGGAAGGUAAAAA
rnacentral:rRNA from 1 species